rnacentral:rRNA from 1 species
UCAGGAUGAACGCUAGCGGCAGGCCUAACACAUGCAAGUCGAGGGGUAUAAGGAGCUUGCUCCUUAGAGACCGGCGCACGGGUGCGUAACGCGUAUGCAAUCUACCUUGUACAGAGGAAUAGCCCAGAGAAAUUUGGAUUAAUGCCUCAUAGUAUAUUGGGUCGGCAUCGACCUAUUAUUAAAGAUUUAUCGGUACAAGAUGAGCAUGCGUCCCAUUAGUUAGUUGGUAAGGUAACGGCUUACCAAGACGAUGAUGGGUAGGGGUCCUGAGAGGGAGAUCCCCCACACUGGUACUGAGACACGGACCAGACUCCUACGGGAGGCAGCAGUGAGGAAUAUUGGGCAAUGGAGGCAACUCUGACCCAGCCAUGCCGCGUGCAGGAAGACGGUCCUAUGGAUUGUAAACUGCUUUUAUACGGGAAGAAACACCACUACGUGU